AUUGAACGCUGGCGGCAGGCCUAACACAUGCAAGUCGAACGGGAGGCGGACGGGUGAGCAAUUUCUGGGAAACUGCCUGAUGGAGGGGGAAAACUACGGGAAACGUUAGCUACUAGCGCAUACCACCCGAUGUGGCCAGGUGGGAUUAGCGAGUUGGUGGGGUAACGGCUCAUCAAGGCGACGAUGCCUAGCUGGUCUGAGAGGAUGACCGGCCACACUGGGACUGAGACACGGGCCAGACUCCUACGGGAGGCAGCAGUGGGGAAUCUUGCGCAAUGGUCGCAAGCCUGACGGAGCCACGCCGCGGGUGUGAAGAAGGCUUUCGGGUUGUAAAGUACUUUCGGCGAGGAAGCGUUACCCGCAGAGGAAGCCCCGGCUAACUCCGUGCCAGCAGCCGCGGUAAUUC
rnacentral:rRNA from 1 species